UUAAAAAGCUCGUAGUUGGAUCUAGGGACGCGCAUUUCAAGCGCCCGUGUCGUUGGGUCAAACCAGCGACUGCGUUGGCGUUGCGGGCUCGGUCCGUCGGUGCCCACAAAGCACUGGUGUGUCAACCGGCCCGCCCGUCCCCUCCUUCUGGAUUCCCGUUCCUGCUAUUGAGUUAGUGGGGACGUCACAGGGAGCUCAUCGUCGUCAGCAAUGCCGGCGGUGGGUUCCUGGGGCCCAGAUCGUUUACCGUGAAAAAAUUAGAGUGUUCAAAGCAGGCAGAUCCAAUUUUCUGCCACCGAAUACAUUAGCAUGGGAUAAUGGAAUAGGACCCUGUCCUCCUAUUUUCAGUUGGUUUUGGCAGCGCGAGGACUAGGGUAAUGAUUAAUAGGGAUAGUUGGGGGCAUUAAUAUUUAAUUGUCAGAGGUGAAAUUCUUGGAUUUAUGAAAGAUUAACUUCUGCGAAAGCAUCUGCCAAGGAUGUUUUCAUUAAUCAAGAACGAAAGUUAGGGGAUCGAAGACGAUCAGAUACCGUCGUAGUCUUAACCAUAAACGAUGCCGACCAGCGAUUAGGAGACGUUGAAUACAAAACACCACCAUCGGUGCGGUCGUCCUUGGCGUCUCGGUUUCGGCCGGGGUGCGGGGACGGCUUAGCCCGGUGGCACCGGUGAAUGACUCCCCUAGCAGCUUGUGAGAAAUCAUAAGUCUUUGGGUUCCGGGGGGAGUAUGGUCGCAAGGCUGAAAC
rnacentral:rRNA from 1 species